GGCCCUCAGCCUAGCGGUGCAGAGAGGACAUGGAUCUUCCCGAGAUGCCCACAGUCUAUGAGAGAGAAAGACCAAGAAACCGCUGGAGGACUGGGUGAGCAGUGCUCUGAACCGGAGAGGGGUGUCCGACUCAGGAAAGACACUGUGAAGGAGGUGACAUUUCAGCUGUCUCAGGAAGGACAAAUAGGAAGUGGCCUGUGAAGAAGUAGUAGUGGAGGACCAAAAUGUGGGACCGUGGGAGGAAGAGGGGACAGGACUGUUGUGGGGAACAUUGGGUGGGUGUAGGUGGAAAGUGAGGGGUGAAUUUGAGGAGACAAGGAGGAUGGAAAGGGUCUUGAAUGCCACACAAAGGCAUGUCACCUGGAAGCCAGGGGCAUUGAAGGGUUUUAAGCACACGAUGACACCAUCAGAUUUGUGUCUGCUCUGGUCACAUGCUAAUAUGCUUUCUCUUAGUCUGAUUUUGAGUGAGCUCGUGAGUAACCAACGCAAAGGGGUGGCCUGAGAAGGACUCCAUGCUUCUGUAUUUGAGUCCUUGUGGACAAACUGUAACUUAAUAGGUAGACAACAUUGAGUACCUAACUUAGGAGUAUGCACCUGUAAGAACUGCUGAGUCUUGGCCAAUCCCAGCGGCCAUACUUCAACCACUCAUACACCACUGAGUGUUCAAACUGUGUUCAAGUAAGGCAAAGGCCAACCUGUAACCAAUCCAGCUAUUUCUGUAGUUCACCUCCAAUAUCUUUUUUUUUUUUUUUUUUGAGACGGAGUCUCACUCUGUCGCCCAGACUGAAGUGCAGUGGCGCAAUCUCGGCCCACUGCAAGCCUCCGCCUCCCGGGUUUGUGCCAUUCUGCAGCCUCAGCCUCCCGAGUAGCUGGGACUACAGGCACCCGCCACCACGCCCGGCUAAUUUUUUGUAUUUUCAGUGGAGACGGGGUUUCACUGUGUUAGCCAGGAUGGUCUUGAUCUCCCGACCCUCGUGAUCUGCCUCCCUCGGCCUCCCAAAGUGCUGGGAUUACAGGCGUGAGCCACCGCGCCAGCCGCACCUCCAAUUUCUGUAUGUCACUUCCCUUUUUUUGUCUAUGAAUUUGUUCUGACUAUGAGGCAUCCCUGGAGUCUGUGUGAAUCUGCUGUGAUUCGCGGGGGCUGCCUGAUUCACGAAUCGUUCAUUGCUCAACUAAACUCCUUUAAAUUUAAUUCUGCUAAGUUUUUCUUUUAACAGAGGGUUGCGCCAACUCUCUAGAAACAGCCCUUCUUUUACUCAUUUCUAGCAGACUUGCUUUACCCUAUGGGAUUUAGGUCAAGGGCUCACAGAGGGGCCCCCAUACCAUAUGUCUAAAUAUUUAAAAGUUAUAAGAAGCCAACAAACCAUUAAAUAUAAUGUGUUCUAUUCUCCAUCCUUCACAAAUACACUUAAAAAAACAAGAAAACAAAAAAAACAGGGUCUUGCUCUGUCACCCAGGCUGGAGUUUAGUGGUGUGGUCACAGCUUACUGCAGCCUCGACCUUCUGAGCUCAUGAGAUCCUCCCACCUCAGCCUCCCAAGUAGCUGGAACUAUAGGAGCGUGCCAUUAAACCAGGGUAAUUUUUAAAUUUUUACUUUUUUAGAGAUGGGGUCUCGCUAUGUUGCCCAGGCUGGUCUUAAAACCCUGGCCUCAAGCAAUCCUCUGGUUUUGGCCUCCCAAAUCUCUGGGAUUACACACGUGAGCCGC
rnacentral:lncRNA from 1 species